CAGGUAACGCCUGGGCAGAGUAAUUUGACGGAAAGUGCCACAGAAAUUAUACCGCCAAUUUAUUGGUAAGGGUGAAAUGGUGCGGUAAGAGCGCACCGCUUUGUUGGCAACAACAAAGGCAGGGUAAACCCCACCGGGAGCAAAAUCAAGUAGGAGUUCUAUGAUACUGCUCGUAUCGAACUUGGGUUGAUUGCUAGAGUGUUUUGGCGACAAAACAUCGAGAUGAAUGAUUGUCCUCGACAGAACCCGGCUUAUGUGCUUUCCUAUUAG
rnacentral:RNase_P_RNA from 1 species